AAGUAGAAAUUACUUCCACAUUCACGGUCAGGUAGGAAAUAAGGCCUAGGGUAUACCUACAACUAAUUAGGCCUUCUAACAAGUUUCGCCAAGUUCCACCUCAAAGGGAGACAAAAAAGGGGACAAAGACUGUGCCGGGUCCCCGCCGGAUGGGUGCUGAAAGAGGAGAGAAAGGAGCCAUCUUGGGAGACGUUGCCGCGGUACCUAAGAUGGCUGGGCUGGCACACGAGGUCUGGAUAUGGAGUCGUCAGGAUUCUGCAUACCCUAUUGGGAUCCUGGUAUGGACCAAACAACCAUUAGACAGUUAAACCAUCUCUGUCACUUGUCAUAGUCAGUUUCUACAUCUGGCAUGAGGAGCUAGAGUAGCCUACACUGUUCACGGAACCAGAGGACACAACAAGCUAGAGGGAAGACUAUGGAAGAUUAUGCAAGAGGAUGCUUAAAAAUAUACUUUGGCAAAAAUCACAAGAGACUAGAAAAUACUGGAGAAAUCUGAUAUUUUAAUGGAAUACAUUGACACAUUACUUUCUGAAUUUGUUGUUCUUUCACUGAUUCAAUUUAAUAAUAAUAAUGAAAAUCAUAAACUCACUUAUGCUCUCAAGUCACAAGUGACAUUCAAACUCUGCUGUGUGUGUGUGUGUGUGUGUGUGUGUGUGUGUGUGUGUGUGUGUGUGUGUGUGUGUGUGUGUGUGUGUGUGUGUGUGUGUGCUGUGUGUGUGGUGUGUGUGUGUGUGUGUGUGUGUGUGUGUGUGUGUGGCAUUGCUCUUUACAAACCCUGAAGAAAGUGAUUCCACAUUGUUGUCAAUUAAAUGAUGUACAAUGAUCA